rnacentral:lncRNA from 1 species
CCUGUACCUGGGGAAGAUCUGGGGACUGGAAAGCUGCUCUGGCUAGGGCUGCUGGCUUCCCAACCAACCUCUCCCGCUCUGAUGCACGAGCCAAGCCUACCUCUAUAUUUCGGACCAUCUUCAACCCAUUUCCACCGGUCAAUCACUCAAUGUGGCCUCUCACUAGUAAGAUUAGCAGUGGAUUUUGUAUGCUUAGGGGCCAUGAUGAGAUUAAAUUAAGCACAAGAGAAAAUGAUGCAAUCAAGAGAUGUGGUAAACACGAGACGUAUGAGGCUGCCGCUGACGUAAUACAGCAUCCUGUUUUACAGUAAACUUUCUUUUUUGUGAAGAUGGUGAGGCCUCCAGGGGUUAAGUGAUUUGCCAAGAGAUGCAUAGCUGGCAGCAGAGCCAGGAUUAGAACUCAGUCUCCCGGUUGCUAAGUCUGCGUGUUCCUUAUCCUAGACACCCAUGGAAAAUGAUCCACAUCAACUCUAUACACACCAAAGCCUUUAGUUCGUUUCUUUGUACGUAGUAGGUCUCAGUAAAUAGACAGAGGAUGAAUGGUGCAUAUUACAGGCAAGAGAGACC